rnacentral:pre_miRNA from 1 species
AAUGUUUGACGUCAUUGACUUUUUAGCACAUGUUUGACCAUUCGUCUUAUUCAAAAAAUUUAAGUAAUUAUUAAUUCUUUUCCUAUCAUUUGAUUCAUUGUUAAAUAUAUUUUUGUGUAGGCAUAUAAUUUUACAUAUUUCAUAAAAGUUUUUGAAUAAGACGAACGGUCAAACAUGUGCUAAAAAAUCAAUGGUGUCAAAUAUU